UUCUACCAAUGAUGACGUUGCCUACAUUGUUUGACAAACAAUUUCAUGAUAAAAACUCAACAACUGAGGCUUAA
rnacentral:snoRNA from 1 species